AUGCAAGGAUUUCAUGGAUCCCACAUUCCUGCCUCUGUAUUGCUGCUGUUUGGGAUUCUACAGGGUUUGUGCAUGUUGGCUGAUGGGAACACAGAGACCUUGUACAGAGCUGCUGGAAGCUCUCUGGAUCUCUUUCUGAAACAUCCAAAAGACUCAGUGUCAAAUGUUGACUGGCUGUUCAAUUAUAUCAUUUUUGCUGAAUACACAGGCAGUAAUGUAUCAUCUGUACCAUCCUGGUUUAGUGGAAGAUUAAAGGUGGACAGUAAUAAAAUUGGAGUAACUGUGCAAGAUCUUCAGCUCCAGGACUCUGGGAAGUAUGUUGUGAUGUCAGAUGGACAUGAAGAGCAGCUUGAUACACAAGUAUUUAACGUUUAUAUUCAGAAUCCUAUAACCAAUGUUACGAUUGAGAAGAAUCGGAUGUGGCUGGUCUCCACAAACAGCUGUAUGAUUAAUGUGAGGUGUGAAGCACUUGGAGCUGAGAGCGUCUCCUACAGGUGGAGCGGAUAUAAAGAUGCUGAUGGAGCUCAGCUGAACUUCAGUCUCUCACCAGCAGAAGAAGAAGUUACACUGAACUGCACUGCACCCAACAAAGUCAGUACCAGCUCUGCUACAGAGAGACUCAACUGUACAGGUGCUGAACCAGAAGCUUCACUGUCAGUGCUAAAGAUGAUCAGUAGUGCAGUGGCGGCUUCUCCGUAUCUGCUGGUGACCUUCAUUCUGGGAGUGAAAUGUUACAGAGCUCACAAUCAGAUGAAUGACCAGUUUGCUGAGGGAUGAGCGUUUUGCUUUCAACGUUUCCAUUCAGGUCCUUCAGGUCCUACAUCUUAUGGUCAGAUGUACCAACAGAUUGUUAUGUUACAUAAAGUUGAGGAAACCGGAGCACCCGGAGGAAACCCACGCAGACACGGGGAGAACAUGCAAACUCUGCACAGAAAGGACCUGGACCGCCCCGCCUGGGGAUCGAACCCAGGACCUUCUUACUGUGAGGCGACAGUGCUACCCACCAAUCCACAGUGCCGCCCUGAUUUGAAUUAGAGACACUAAAUUGUCCAUGACUGUGUUUGAUAUUAAACUUGUGAACUGAUGAAUCUUGUGUAAUGAGUAACUACCGUUCCUGUCAUCAGUGUAACCAAAGCACGGCACAGUUUGGCUAAAACCUACUCAGCGUAUCAUCACAAGCACUUUAUACCAGCCGUCCUGCAUGAUGUUGAAGGGGUGAAGAUUUGGGCUUGUUUUGCAGAAACAGGACCUGAAAACUUUUGGUCAUGUGACUAAU